rnacentral:rRNA from 1 species
GACAGAGGUGCCGAGCGUUAGGCGGAAUCACUGGGCUUAAAGCGUGUGUAGGCGGACCGUUAAGUGCCUCGUGAAAUCCCCCGGCUCAACCGGGGAACGGCCGGGCAUACUGGCGGUCUUGAGCGGCCUAGGGGCAGAUGGAACAGGCGGUGGAGCGGUGAAAUGCGUAGAGAUGUGGAGGAACACCGAUGGCGAAGGCAGCCUCCUGGGCCGACACUGACGCUCAUGCACGAAAGCGUGGGGAGCAAACAGG